rnacentral:lncRNA from 10 species
AAGUGAAAGAUCUCUACCCCGAAAAACUACAAAACAUUGAUGAAAGAAAUUGAGAAGGACACAAAUAAAUGGGAAGAUAACCUAUGUUUGUGGAUUGGAAGAAUUAAUAUUCUGAAAAUGGCCAUAAAACCCAAAGUGAUCUACAGGUUUAAGGCAAUGCCUGUUAAAUAUCAAUGAUAUUUUUUACAGAAUUAGAAAAACAAUCCUGAAAUUUAUAUGAACCACAAAGACCCUAAAUAGCUAAAGCAAUUCUGAUAAAAAAGAAGGAAGGCUUAGACAUCACAUUAUGUGACUUCAAAAUAUGCUACAAAGCUAAUGUAACCAAAACAGCAUAAAAACAGAAACAUUGACCAAUGGAACAGAAUAGAAAGCUCAGAAAUAAAUUAACAAACCUACAGCCAACAGCCAAUUGAUUUUCAACAAAGGUGCCAAGAAUCCACACUGGAGAAAGGACAAUCUCUUCAAUAAAUGGUGUGGAGGAAAAUUGAGAAAAAGAAAAGUUAAAAAAAAUUAAAAAGUCACAUCUCCCGCAUGCAGAAAAAUGAGACUAAAUCCCUACCUCUCACCAUAUACAAAACUCAGUUAAAAUGAAUUAAAGACUUAAAUUAAAGGCUUGAAACUAUGAAACUACUAGAAGAAAACAUAGGGGAAACAUUUCAUGACGUGGGGUUGGGCAAUGAUUUUUGAAAUAAAACUUCAAAAGCACAAGUGACAAAAAAACAAAUGAGAUUAUAUAAAACUAAAAAGCUUUUGUACAGCAAAGGGAUCUAUAAGCAGAGUGAAGGGACAACCUACAUAAUGGGAGAAAAUAUCUGCAAACUAUCCAUCUGGCAAGGGUUAAUAUUCAGAA